UGGUAGUGGCGUAGAAUGACGUCACUGACAUUGGUUUAAUAUGAAAACAAACUUUGUCAAACCAAAAACAAAACCAAAAAAAGAAGAAGUGAGUCAGCGUGUCAUCUUUACCGAGCACCAUACAUGUUUUGCACACAAAAAAACAAGUAUUGCCGAACAAAAGAUAAAUGUCCUUUUUUUUCCUACUUUCGCCGGCUGGUCGUUUGGCGUAAGACGUAAGAAGUGGCGCUUUCCAUCUGAGCGCCCGAGUUCGAACCCCCCACGGACUCGCUGCCACGACCCUUGCUUGGGGGGCGGGGAGAAGCCAAGUCGCUUCUCCUUUUUCCUGCUCUUGCCAACUCCUCCGCCUGCUCUCUUAUUACCUUUUAUUACCGCAAAAUACCCAUGCUUGUCAGCUCUUCAUUCCUCAACUAUUUGCUGCUUAUUACUCCACCUUCCGCAACUUUCUCUCUUCAGGCUACCAACUCUGCCUUCAUUUUUUCACACUGUCUCCGACACUUUUACAUCAAAUUAUUAGCACCUAAUAACCACAGUGACAGAGGGACCCCAGGCUUUUUUUCGGUUUCUCUCAGACCAAGAUUGAAUGUGAUGACAAGGGUGAUGGAUGGUGUGACAUGUGCUGCUGGCCCACAGAACCAGGUUAAGGCGUACGGUCCAGGCCUUCAGAGCAGUGGUCUGGCUGUUGGAAAACCCACUGAAUUCACAGUUGAUGCCAAGCAAGGAGGAAAAGCUCCUCUGAAAAUUAUAGCCCAGGAUGGUGAAGUCAAUUCUGUGGAUGUCCAGGUUAAGGAUAAUGGCAACAGCACAUACACCUGCACCUACACCCCACGUAAGCCUGUGAAGCACACUGUGAUGGUCUCCUGGGGAGACUGAGAGUCCAUUCAGGAUGAAUAUCGGAGCAGGCUGUCAUCCAAACAAGGUGAAGGUCUCUGACCCUGGAGUGGCAAAUACGGGCCUCCAAGCCUUCCAGCCAACAUACUUCACUGUUGACUGCUCAGAGUCUGGUCAAGGACAAAGGCUGUUUGCGUUUAGGCUAUUCCAAUGACAUCCUUCAGGGUCAAAGUGGAUCCUUCUCAAGGCAGAGGGACCAGGACUCAGCCGCAGUGGAGGAAGGUGGAGGAGCAGCUCCAGCAGAGCAACACCAGAGGUGUGUGGAGAGGACUGAACACCAUCACUGGACGGAGCACUGUGAGCGGAGGGGGUCCAGAGUCUGGAGACCAGGUUCUGGCUAACAGAUUGAACCAGUUGUUUAACAGGUUUGAUUCAGUAGUACUUCCCUCCCCCAUCCACCAGAGCUCGUCACACCUCUCUGCAACCCCCCAUAGCACCGGGGACAUGAAAUGCACCUCACCUGUCCCCCUUUUCCUUUUCCUUCAACCACUCUACUGGGUCUAAGUCGUCUCCACCUGCUACGGCGGCUGAGAUCCUUUGGGGUGAAAUAAACCUCAUGAGGAAUGAUUUUGAGUUCAACGGGGAAUUCUAUUUACAGAUUAAGGGUACGGCAAUGGGGAAAAACUUUGCCCCAGCCUAUGCCAACAUCUUCAUGGCAGAGUGGGAGACCUCUGCAUUGGAGAAAUGUGUUAAAAAGCCAUUAUAUUAUUAUCGAUUCUUGGAUGAUAUCUGGGGGGUUUGGCAACAUCCUGAGCGAGACUUUGAGGUGUUUUUGAGGACUCUUAAAUAAUUGGUUGAAACAACAAAGGGAAAGGAGAGUCUUCUAAUAUGACAAUCGUUUUUGCAAUUGUUCAUCCAAACACUUUUUUCUAUGUUUCCAAAAAACAAACACACUCAUCUAAGAAAAAUUCAUUGGACUAAAGUUUGAAUGCGCAUGCAACAUGUUUAUUAAGACUGUCUAAUGUCUGCGACGCUAUCUUCUCCCACGUCUGCGAACACCGGAGGCCUUGUGGGGUCUCCUGCCUCUGCGAACGGGGAAAGUAGACCUCGCAUGUUUGCGUCUAUACCUGCGGAGAGCAGCAAUGUGAUAUCAACUGAAAGCUCAUAACUGAAGCAGAUUAGUCAUUUUGUUGUGACCAUAUAACCAAGCAUGCCGACAUGAGGAGUCGCGAGUAAAAGGAGGAAUAUGCGCAAAAUUCCUCCUUUUACGCACGAUUCCUCAUGUCGGCAUGCUUGGUUACAUGAUCACAACAACAUUACUCGCAAAUAUGUUUUAAAUGGAUAAUUCCUCAUCCAUUUAAAACAUAUUUGGCGGCGUUUAAAGGUAAUAUGCGCAAAAUUACUCGUUUUACUCACGACUCCUUAUGUCGGCAUGCUUUUUACAUGAUCUCAAUAAAAUGACUCGCAAAUAUGUUUUAAAUGGAUGAUUCCUCAUUUGAUGGAGAAUCAUCCAUUUACACAUUUCCUGAGUCCUAAAUUUGAUGCCAGUGAACCUUUCUGAAAAGCCCCCAAAUCCCCUAUGAGCAAGCACUUGGCGACAGCGGGGAGGAAACCCCCCCCUUUAAUGGGGGGAAACCUCCGACAGAACCGGGCUCAGGAAGGGGUGGCCAUCUGUUGCGCACAGGCGGCGUUUAAAUGUAAUAUCUGUAAAGUUCCUCGUUUUACUCGCAACUCCUCAUGUCGGCAUGCUUGGUUACAUGAUCACAACAAAAUUACUCAAAAAGAUGUUUUAAAUGGAUGAUUCCUCAUUUGAUGGAGUCUGGAGGCAAGGAUUUCAGUCUCUGGAUGUGCAAAGCUGGUAGUAACAUACCCUAAAAGACUGGCAGCUGUAAUUGCGGCAAAAGGUGGUUCUACAAAGUAUUGACUCAGGGGGCUGAAU